UGCAGUCGAGCGGACAGAAGGGAGCUUGCUCCCGGAUGUUAGCGGCGGACGGGUGAGUAACACGUGGGUAACCUGCCUGUAAGACUGGGAUAACUCCGGGAAACCGGAGCUAAUACCGGAUAGUUCCUUGAACCGCAUGGUUCAAGGAUGAAAGACGGUUUCGGCUGUCACUUACAGAUGGACCCGCGGCGCAUUAGCUAGUUGGUGAGGUAACGGCUCACCAAGGCGACGAUGCGUAGCCGACCUGAGAGGGUGAUCGGCCACACUGGGACUGAGACACGGCCCAGACUCCUACGGGAGGCAGCAGUAGGGAAUCUUCCGCAAUGGACGAAAGUCUGACGGAGCAACGCCGCGUGAGUGAUGAAGGUUUUCGGAUCGUAAAGCUCUGUUGUUAGGGAAGAACAAGUGCAAGAGUAACUGCUUGCACCUUGACGGUACCUAACCAGAAAGCCACGGCUAACUACGUGCCAGCAGCCGCGGUAAUACGUAGGUGGCAAGCGUUGUCCGGAAUUAUUGGGCGUAAAGGGCUCGCAGGCGGUUUCUUAAGUCUGAUGUGAAAGCCCCCGGCUCAACCGGGGAGGGUCAUUGGAAACUGGGAAACUUGAGUGCAGAAGGAGAGGAAUUCCACGUGUAGCGGUGAAAUGCGUAGAGAUGUGGAGGAACACCAGUGGCGAAGGCGACUCUCUGGUCUGUAACUGACGCUGAGGAGCGAAAGCGUGGGGAGCGAACAGGAUUAGAUACCCUGGUAGUCCACGCCGUAAACGAUGAGUGCUAAGUGUUAGGGGGUUUCCGCCCCUUAGUGCUGCAGCUAACGCAUUAAGCACUCCGCCUGGGGAGUACGGUCGCAAGACUGAAACUCAAAGGAAUUGACGGGGGCCCGCACAAGCGGUGGAGCAUGUGGUUUAAUUCGAAGCAACGCGAAGAACCUUACCAGGUCUUGACAUCCUCUGACAACCCUAGAGAUAGGGCUUUCCCUUCGGGGACAGAGUGACAGGUGGUGCAUGGUUGUCGUCAGCUCGUGUCGUGAGAUGUUGGGUUAAGUCCCGCAACGAGCGCAACCCUUGAUCUUAGUUGCCAGCAUUCAGUUGGGCACUCUAAGGUGACUGCCGGUGACAAACCGGAGGAAGGUGGGGAUGACGUCAAAUCAUCAUGCCCCUUAUGACCUGGGCUACACACGUGCUACAAUGGACAGAACAAAGGGCUGCGAGACCGCAAGGUUUAGCCAAUCCCACAAAUCUGUUCUCAGUUCGGAUCGCAGUCUGCAACUCGACUGCGUGAAGCUGGAAUCGCUAGUAAUCGCGGAUCAGCAUGCCGGGGGAAAACCCUUUCCCGGGCCCUUGUACACACCGCCCGUCACACCACGAGAGUUUGCAACACCCGAAGUCGGUGAGGUAACCUUUAUGGAGCCAGCCGCCGAAGGUGGGGCAGAUGAUUGGGGUGAAGC
rnacentral:rRNA from 1 species